rnacentral:rRNA from 1 species
UAGGGAAUCUUCGGCAAUGGACGGAAGUCUGACCGAGCAACGCCGCGUGAGUGAAGAAGGUUUUCGGAUCGUAAAGCUCUGUUGUAAGAGAAGAACGAGUGUGAGAGUGGAAAGUUCACACUGUGACGGUAUCUUACCAGAAAGGGACGGCUAACUACGUGCCAGCAGCCGCGGUAAUACGUAGGUCCCGAGCGUUGUCCGGAUUUAUUGGGCGUAAAGCGAGCGCAGGCGGUUAGAUAAGUCUGAAGUUAAAGGCUGUGGCUUAACCAUAGUACGCUUUGGAAACUGUUUAACUUGAGUGCAAGAGGGGAGAGUGGAAUUCCAUGUGUAGCGGUGAAAUGCGUAGAUAUAUGGAGGAACACCGGUGGCGAAAGCGGCUCUCUGGCUUGUAACUGACGCUGAGGCUCGAAAGCGUGGGGAGCAAACAGGAUUAGAUACCCCGGUAGUCCACGCCGUAAACGAUGAGUGCUAGGUGUUAGACCCUUUCCGGGGUUUAGUGCCGCAGCUAACGCAUUAAGCACUCCGCCUGGGGAGUACGACCGCAAGGUUG